AUGGCCGACGGCGGCGAGGAGGGGAAUGCGGCGGCGCCCAGGGGCUUCUCGCGGCGGAGGGGCACGGUGCGGGCCAGCCUCGACGCCGACGAGCUCAUGGCGCUCAUGCACGGCUCGGAUCCCGUCCGGGUCGAGCUCACCCGCCUCGAGAACGAGCUCAGGGACAAGGAGCGGGAGCUCGGGGAGGCGCACACGGAGAUACGCACGCUGCGGCUGUCCGAGAGGGCGCGCGAGAAGGCCGUGGAGGAGCUUACAGAUGAGCUGGAGAGGAUGGACGAGAAGCUCAAGUUGACAGAAUAUCACCUAGAUAACAAAAAUCUAGAAGUCAAGAAGAUAAAUGACGAGAAAAAGGCUGCAAUGGCUGCUCAGUUUGCGGCAGAAGCUACUUUGCGAAGAGUGCAUGCAGCUCAAAAGGAUGAUGACAUGCCACCAAUUGAAGCCAUUCUUGCUCCACUUGAAGCAGAGCUAAAGCUAUCUCGGCAAGAGAUUGCAAAGCUCCAGGAGGAUAAUAGAGCCUUGGAUCGACUAACAAAACAAAAAGAGGCAGCACUACUGGAAGCAGAAAGGACUGUGCAAAUAGCAAUGGCAAAAGCUGCUAUGGUUGAUGACUUGCAAAACAAGAACCAAGAUUUGAUGAAGCAAAUUGAGAUCUGUCAUGAAGAAAAUAAGAUAUUGGAUAAGUUGCAUCGCCAAAAGGUUGCAGAAGUUGAAAAGCUUAGUCAAACUGUGAGGGAGCUGGAAGAGUCUGUUCUUGCAGGUGGUGCAGCUGCCAAUGCUGUUAGAGAUUACCAGCGCAAAGUGCAGGAGAUGAAUGACGAAAGAAAAACACUUGACCGUGAACUUGCUCGUGCGAAAGUUACAGCAAACAGGGUUGCUGUGGUGGUAGCAAAUGAGUGGAAAGAUUCUAAUGAUAAAGUGAUGCCAGUUAAACAGUGGCUUGAAGAGCGCAGAUUCAUGCAGGGUGAAAUGCAACAGCUUCGUGAUAAGCUUGCUGUUGCAGAACGAACAGCACGGUCUGAAGCUCAACUAAAGGAAAAAUACCAGUUGCGCCUGAAAGUUUUGGAAGAUGGACUGCGAGGGCCACCAAGUGGCUCUAGUCGACCGCCUACUGAAGGGAAGAGUUUCAGCAACGGUCCUUCCCGUCGGUUAUCACUCGGCGGAGCAGAUAAUAUGUCUAAAGUCUCACCAAAUGGCUUAUUAACAAGGAGAUCUCCAUCUUUCCAUUCAAGAUCCUCUCUUUCUUCUAGCAGCAGCUUGAUACUAAAACACGCUAAAGGAACGUCAAAGUCAUUUGAUGGUGGAACUAGGUCACUAGACAGGGGAAAGGUCCAUGGGAAUGGAUCACAUUUACUUAACAAAUCUACAGACGCAGUUAAAGAUCGUGAAGCGAAUGAUGGUUGGAAAGGGACUGUCGAUGAGGGAACUACUGAAAGUCCAAAUAGCAAUGCAGAUCAGAGAAGUAAUGAAACCACAAAUAGCAACUCAAUUGAAAUGGUCUCCGGUUUCCUGUAUAAUAUGUUGCAGAAGGAGGUCGUUUCUUUGAGGAAAGCAUGCCACGAAAAAGAUCAAAGUCUAAAGGACAAAGAUGAUGCCAUUGAAAUGUUAGCAAAGAAAGUUGAUACCUUAACCAAAGCAAUGGAAGUGGAGGCUAAAAAGAUGAGGCGAGAAGUUGCUGCCAUGGAGAAAGAAGUUGCAGCUAUGCGCGUCGACAAGGACCAAGAAAUCAAAGCCAGGCGGCUUGGUAAUUCAAAAGGGUCUGGGAGUUCUCAACUGCUUCCUGGAAGAAGCGCACCGCGAAGUGGGUUGGCACGCAACUUCCAAUGA
rnacentral:rRNA from 1 species